AUGUACAUUCCUUCAAUUUUAAUGCACUAUAUCCCAUUAGAAAUUUGCAGCUAAGUGUGCUUGGGCUAGAGUAGUAUUGAGAUGGGUGACCUCCCAGAAGUCCUAGUGUUUUACAUG
rnacentral:rRNA from 1 species